UGAGUGGUAGGAACGACGGACGGUGGUCGUGAGAGGGGGAACAACAAAACACUUCGCUGACCUGACCACAGUAAACCACGCGCAGCGUAACCUCCUCAUCCUCGUCCUCACGACCUGUCGUCAUGGUCCGUCCGUUUUCGGUGGAAAACCAACCGCAACCUGAGAGAAAAGAACGCCACCUUAAAGCCCUUUACGAGGCCCAAGGUUAGUCACCGCUUUUAGAGAGCGCCCAAAUUCUCUGUUCCUCUUUAACGGGACUCUCCAUUUAUUUCUACCUCUACGGACUAUAACUUCGACCGUGCCAUCAGUGGCUAAGACUAUCAAGUUCUUCCGGUGUUCUGUUAUGACGCUGUAGUUAGGGUUUGUCACCUUUAAAUCUUCCAAGUUCGGUGUCCCGAUGUUUCUGGUGGUCCAAGUUUCCGCUGCUGCUGCCCCAACAACUCUAAUGGGAACUGUAUGUUGCGCUAAGUCACAGUUAGGUUCUACAGUCCGGUCAACUGCUACCACCGAGUCGUGUGUCGCCACGUGACCACAGUGGAAGGAGUAGUUCCUCGCCGUUCGACAGUAGCUUUGACUCUGUCCACUGGUUGCCCGAUUUCGACUGCUUAGGCUCGUUCUUCUACGGUGGCUGCGGACGUGGUUUCUGGCACUCCUUCUCUAUACUGGCUUCGUUCUCAUCACGACGUCACCGUGAGUUUCCGAACGUCAAACACUGACGGUUUCAACCGUUACUGCCGACCCGACGACACCUCUUUGCCAAGUUAGUGGAUGUCCAACUACCGUACGAUGAGGCAAGCUCUAAACCCUUUACGUAACCCUACCUUCCCAGUCUGCUCAAACGCUACGUUUACAAGCUGAGCAAUCGCUCCUUCUCUCCCUACCACUUCGUUCACGACUGAUUCCUCCUCGACUUUCUAAAGACCCUCGUUGAGUCACUAGUCCCAAAACUGUUGGCAGAGGUUUGCAAGAAACUGUACCAACUGUUUUUACGACUACCUUCUUAGUGGAGUCUCCUCCAAUUCCUCUAAUAACGCGAAUCACGUAGUCGUUUAUUUGAAAGGUUCUAGUUUCUCGCUCGACUACUCAUGUGUCGUGAAUAAUACCUUCUCGAACUAGGUUUGUUGAACCCGAUGUAUCUCGAGCUCCUGAACCUCCGUGAGAAUGACGUCAGUGGUAGACUUCGACAACGUUCUAGUUGCUGGUGGGUGUCGAGCUUUGAAUCGUUUCAAGAAUCGUACUUCGAGCGUGGAUCGUUACUGUGCUCAGGUGAAGCGGCGGUGACCGUCCUCAAAAACAUGAAACAACUCCUUUUGACCUUCGCGUAUACCCAGUACUGAGAGACCGAAAGUUAGACGUAGCGGGAAAAGUAAACCUUCAAGUAGGUCAUAGCAUUGUCCCGACAUAAAGUGUAGUACCCGAUGACACACCGGUGACGUUUCCCACGGCGUCUCUGGGACUUUAAGUUAUACCGGGACCAGGAAGAAGGACAGACGGCAUUAUGUUAGUGUACCUAAGCUAGUUUCUGUUUCUAACCUCGACAACAUGGGAAGUUACUGUUGUAUUUGAAGGUAUUCCAUUAUCGUCGUCCACAACGUCAACCACAACGAGACGUACGUCCACGAGUAGACUGUACACUAAAAGGAGAGAACGAGGUACGUUCACUACGUUUUAUACUUGGUUACUUCGGAAAGAAACCCCUGUUUUCCGGUGGUUUGAUGACCACCAAACAUUUUCCUUGACGUCCCACCUGUCCAUAACAGUACCAUCACGAGUACAGUUAUCGAAAACAUAAUCGAGUCGGUACCAAGGCUGCAUUGUUCGACUUCCUGUGAUUAGGUGAGUUCUUCUACUGACCAAAGUUACGGAAAACCAAAUGCGUGGUGGAUAAACGAUAACACAUACACGACGAGUAGCAGGUACCUUGUUCAAACAUAGACUGCUUCCUCACCAUGUUCUUUAGCUGUACCUACAUGUAGCGAAUAGGACAGAAGAAUAUAAGUACGCUCGCGUAACAAGCCAAUAAAUCCUCGGUACUACGUCAAUUCUAAGUCUUCCAACGCCAUAUAGGACCCGUACACAACCGAGAAAUAUACAGGUUCGGUUGACCAAAAUCUAUGGCCUCACCCGUCAUGUAGAAGUAUUUAACGUCUCGACAUAGAGGUAUACUUACCGUAGGCAAAAGGUAAUGUAGCCGUGGUCCUCUAUUAAUGGAGUCACAGGUGUAGGCGUGUUCCCCACUAACCUGAAGAGCCGAAUCCUGUCAGAAGAGACUCCGCACAGCCGGAGGUCGACUUCCUCUUUCACCUGAGGAAUCUCGACUGGAGAGGUCCCCUUAGUGACUGACGUUGCGUUCUAAGGGAUUUGAAAACUAACUACCUGGUAUACCACGAGGUCGUGUUCUAAUGGCCCUUAUGCUACACGAUGAGGAGUAACCCGAACCGUAACCUCGGUGGGGAAACUAGUCGUAACACUUCCUACACGAAUUGGUGUAGGUCGGACCCCCUAGCCAACCACCUCGUCUCGGCCCCUCGUGGUGACCAUUCCGUUUCUUCUCUGUUAAAUACUGCUUCUCCCGGAUGAAGAUGACCCAGUGUUCCCUCCUCCCGAGGAAACUUACCAAGUCUCCCCACUACUUGCUCCACCGACUCUUCCUGUUCCUAGUUCACUAGCUCGAGGUGUUGGUAACGAGCUCACACAUAGUUCUCCCGCUACGAGCAAGGCGCGAGUAACAGUACGAGGUUCUUGAGGUCGUACGUUUCUUCCCUCAACUGUAGAACAGACCUUGGUCGCAGUUCUGAGUGAAACGGUCCGGAUUAACCGCUUCGCAGAAGUUCGCACAACGCCAGUUGGUACUCUUGGUCGCGCAGCCCCAAAAGAUAACACCACUCGGACAAGAACACGGUGUCAACGCCGUCAACAGCCGUCUAAAGUGGGUGUUCUGUUUGUGUUUCAAACUCAAAGUGUUCCUCUUGAAGAUCAUGACAUUGAACAUAUUCUUGUACAGAUACGGUACGAAGUAGUCCACUUAAUAUACCCAACAUAAUAAUAAUAAUAAAACAUUUCCGUCCCUUUAUUUUACCCUCCAAAACGGAUCAGAACACAAGUCAGAACAAAUGAGAUACAACAAUUCCUCAUAUUCCAAAUCCUUAGGAUAAUCUGGUACAAAGGAAAGGAACAUGGGUUCAGAACACAUUCUAUAUACGAGGAACCUGAAACGUUAUGUUAGUUCAACGUAGG
rnacentral:rRNA from 1 species